rnacentral:lncRNA from 1 species
CUAAUAUUUUGUAUGCUCCAUGCCGUGAGUUGCCACCUCUUGCCACAUGUUCGUGCUAAUUAUCAAGUAACCUCCUGAAUGAAUUGUGAUUGCGAUUAGUAUCUUUAGACGUUGGUCACUAGCUAUAGUUAGCACUAUUAGUCUGCUCGCUUAUGUAACCACUAAUGUGGUUGUUUGCUGCUUUUUUGCAGCCAUUUGAUCAAGUCAAAGGCAACAGAAAGGCACAAAGGCGAUCAAGGUCCUUAUGUACACCGAGUACUAUCUUUUGUCUACUAAUAAUUGCAAGUUAGAAAAAAGAAGUUCCAACUCUUUCAAGCAGUGUUUGUGUUUCUAUUGGGCAAAGCAAGAGUUUAUUGUAAAAAAAAAAGGAAACUAACUAAGUCAUGCAUUAUGUAUUUACUGGUGGUGUCUAAGGAGAACAUAUAUCCUACAUAGCCUACCUUCGAAUGCUUAUAUAAGCAUAUCCUUUGUACGGUUCUUCUUUUUUGACUUGGCACAUCUGCUCAUUUUUUAAUAGAUCUUCACCUAACUACCAAUGUUGUAAAACAUAAUUCUCUUUUUGAGGAUGCUUAUGUCUGAAACUGUUCAUCAUCUUUCCAAUAUGUUAUCCACAUAUAAAACCCAUCUUAGAUUUUAUAUCUUAUUCAUAAAU